ACAAAGGGCAGCAAGUUCGCGAGGACAAGCAAAUCCCAUAAACCGUGGCUCAGUUCAGAUCGUAGGCUGCAACUCGCCUACGUGAAGGAGGAAUCGCUAGUAAUCGCAGGUCAGCAUACUGCGGUGAAUACGUUCCCGGGCCUUGUACACACCGCCCGUCACACCAUGGAAGUUGGCCACGCCCGAAGUCGUUACUCCAACCCUCUGGGAGGAGGACGCCGAAGGUGGGGCUGAUGACUGGGGUGAAGUCGUAACAAGGUAGCCGUACCGGAAGGUGCGGCUGGAUCACCUCCUAAC
rnacentral:rRNA from 1 species